rnacentral:rRNA from 1 species
UUUUCCUACGGGGGGCAGCAGUGAGGAAUGUUGGUCAAUGGGCGCGAGCCUGAACCAGCCAAGUCGCGUGAGGGAAGACGGUCCUAUGGAUUGUAAACCUCUUUUGUCGGGGAGCAAAAGACGCCACGCGUGGCGUUCCGAGAGUACCCGAAGAAAAAGCAUCGGCUAACUCCGUGCCAGCAGCCGCGGUAAUACGGAGGAUGCGAGCGUUAUCCGGAUUUAUCGGGUUUAAAGGGGGCGCAGGCAGAAGAUCAAGUCAGCGGUAAAAUUGAGAGGCGCAACCU